CAAAUAUUUAUUGAGCAACUAUCAUUUGCCAGUGACUAUCCCAGGUGUUAGAGAUACAACCACAAACAAAAUAGAUGCAAGUCCCUGCCCUCAUGGGACUUACAUUCUAGUGGAAGGAAACAGGUAACAGACAAAAUAUAUAUGCAAAACAGAUAAAUAAAGUGCAUGACAUAUUAUUGGAUGAUAAGUGCUAUGGAGAAAAACAGAGUAAGAAAGAGGAUAGAGGGGAUGGAUGUGCAGGUUGUAAUUGAAGACCUAAAGAUGAACAAUCAAACUGCAAAACUAUUACAGAAACUAUCUUUACAUCAAACAAGACACACAACACAGCCAAAAAGAUUAACUUUACUUCUGCCAACAUUAAAAACUUAUAUAUUAUAAAAGAUAUCACAAACAAAAAACAUUGACUAGGAGAAGAUAAUGGCACCCAAAUAGUUUUCGAUAAAUGAGUGUAGGUAACAACACUAAGCUAACAUCCAGAUGAGAUUCUCAAAUCUGCCUCUGUCUCCCUAGUGGAAGUCUGAAUACCCAGCAUCGUAUCUGGGGAUCUGUGUCUAAACACAGCACCGUGCACAGGUGAACAAUAUUAAUGGUUAAUAACUAAUGCGGAAAAGUAUUCAUCUGCUUCUUUCCCAUCCCCUCCCUCCUUGCUUAAGCUGGGUAGAAGCAUCUAAAUGAAAGCAAAGGCAAAUAUUAGCAAGAAAGCAGCUUCAUGCCUGCUUUGCCAUGAAGGAGUGAUAGGAGUGGAGAACUAGCCAACGUCUGAGGGACACUGGGCCUCUGAACGCACUCACUCCACGAGCCCCAUCUCCCAGCUUAUGUAGACUCAUGCCACCCAUUGCUAUGACUGCAGCUACUACUGCUAGUUCUCAGCAAAACUGCCAUGUUCUGAUAAAACACCAAUGCCUGCAGCAAUCUCAAGAAAGACCUCUAUAAAAAUAAAACAUACAUGAAGGAUGUUUCAGUUCAACAUAUUUCAGCCAGAUAGAUUUCUCUUUAUCAGAUACACUCCUUUUCGUGAAGUUGGUUGAACCAAUUCAGGCAAAAUGCUGAUGGUGAUAGAAGCAAGCUAAACUCCUCUUAGAAGAGUCCUAAGAUGAGUAUUGAUAUCCAUUCAGGAAGGACACCUUCAGGGCCACCUCCCAUAUACAAAUAGAACCAAACCACAUGGAUACCUGGCUGCUCCUGUACUUUCUUGGGGGUGAUCUGGUGGGAG
rnacentral:lncRNA from 10 species